rnacentral:rRNA from 1 species
AUGAGUUAAGUAUAAACCCCUUUACAAGUAUCAAUUGGAGGGCAAGUCUGGUGCCAGCAGCCGCGGUAAUUCCAGCUCCAAUAGCGUAUAUUAAAGUUGUUGCAGUUAAAAAGCUCGUAGUUGGAUUUCUGUUAAUAAUUUAUAUAUAAUAUUUAAUAUAUUUAUAUAAUAUUAACAUAAUUCAUAUUACUAUUUUAGUAUAUGAAAUUUUACUUUGAGAAAAUUAGAGUGCUUAAAGCAGGCAUAUGCCUUGAAUACUCCAGCAUGGAAUAAUAUAAAAGAUUUUUAUCUUUUUUAUUGGUUCUAAGAUAAAAAUAAUGAUUAAUAGGGACAGUUGGGGGCAUUUGUAUUUAACAGUCAGAGGUGAAAUUCUUAGAUUUGUUAAAGACAAACUAAUGCGAAAGCAUUUGCCAAGGAUGUUUUCAUUAAUCAAGAACGAAAGUUAGGGGAUCGAAGACGAUCAGAUACCGUCGUAGU